rnacentral:tRNA from 1 species
GCUCCCUUAGCUCAGCAGGAUAGAGCGUCCCCCUCCUAAGGGGAAGGCCACAGGUUCGACUCCUGUAGGGAGCGCCA